rnacentral:rRNA from 1 species
AUGCCAAACGAGUGGCAUGUAUGUACAGUCGAGCUUUGGGGUAGUCUGCGCUACAGCAGGAAGACAGAGAGGAGGAGCUUUGGCCUUAAAUGGCUCCAGCUGUUUGCGCGAGCAAGGAAGCAUAGGGACGAACAGAAGACAGCCGCGAGGAGGAGAGAGAGCGGCGGAGGAGCGGGUCCGGCCCGUAUAAGUAGGAGCGACGGCGAGCCGGAGGUCACACAGCCGAGCACCAAGAUCUCUCUUCCUUCCUCCUCCUCCUCCUCCAAUCCCCCUCUCCGGCCAGCGCGAGCGAGCGAGCUUGAGAGAGGUUGGUACCUGCAGGUAGCCAUGGACGGCCACCGCCACGGGCCGCGCAAGAUUCUGGCGCUCGAGGCGGCGUUCAAGAAAUGGGCCCACCCCGACGUCGCUAAUCUCAGCCGCGAAACCGGCAUGGAGCCCCAGCAGAUCGUAUACUGGUUCCAGACCCGGCGGGCGCACAUCAAGACUCAGCUGGGCAUAGCAAACAUUCAUGAGGUUGUAGGGGGUGCCACAUGCACGUUCUUUCACCGUGUAAUUUUGGUAUUCUGUACAGGCACUUGCACGGGCGCGGCGUCGCGCCGCGCUUUUGCCCUGCUAGUAAAAAGUAGGACAGGUAUUUCAUUGGAAUUGACAACCAUAUGCAAAGAGAUCACUGGAGUACCAUGGUAUGUGCCUCCCUUCCCAACAGAUAAGGGUGCAAGUAGCAGAGUACAGUCAGUAGUUAACGCUUGCAGCUCUGAGAAGGGGUAUGUGCAGAAAGAGAAAGAGACUGAUGAGGCCGAGGGAUUCGUACAAUCAGAGCAUUCAUCGAGCGAGCCCAUGGAUGUAGUAGGCAGCAAUGACAAGGUGAAGACACGCCCAGCUUAUGGCAUGAUCCACGAGUUCAUCUCGCAUAUGUCCGCUUCCCAGCUUAUAGCAUAA